AUUGAACGCUGGCGGCAUGCCUUACACAUGCAAGUCGAACGGCAGCACGGGUGCUUGCACCUGGUGGCGAGUGGCGAACGGGUGAGUAAUACAUCGGAACAUGUCCUGUAGUGGGGGAUAGCCCGGCGAAAGCCGGAUUAAUACCGCAUACGAUCUACGGAUGAAAGCGGGGGACCUUCGGGCCUCGCGCUAUAGGGUUGGCCGAUGGCUGAUUAGCUAGUUGGUGGGGUAAAGGCCUACCAAGGCGACGAUCAGUAGCUGGUCUGAGAGGACGACCAGCCACACUGGGACUGGGACACGGCACAGACUCCUACGGGAGGCAGCAGUGGGGAAUUUUGGACAAUGGGCGAAAGCCUGAUCCAGCAAUGCCGCGUGUGUGAAGAAGGCCUUCGGGUUGUAAAGCACUUUUGUCCGGAAAGAAAUCCUUGAUUCUAAUACAGUCGGGGGAUGACGGUACCGGAAGAAUAAGCACCGGCUAACUACGUGCCAGCCGCCGCCGUAA
rnacentral:rRNA from 1 species